GCAUCAUGUGGCCCUCGCAUGAGAUUCCCGCUUUCCCCCUUUCCUACUCGAUGGCGAGAUAUGAUUGGGACAACAAGAUGGUAUGCGUCGAAGAAGACGAUCUUGCUGGUUUAGAAGAUGCGAGCUCUGAUGCAGAGGAUGAAAGUUAUGAAGUUGGAUUGACUGAUGAUGAAACACCUUAUAGAGGAAGAGCCUGUGGAAAUUCCGAACCAACUCCUUUGAUGGAAGGUGAAGGCAGAUCUUUCAGGGUGCUGGGUUUUAACCGAACUCAAAGGGCC